GGUACUGUGGCUCAGUGGUAGAGCACCUGAUUGACAUGCAGAAUGUCCCAGGUUUAGUCUCUGGCAUUUCCC
rnacentral:tRNA from 1 species